GAACUGAUUAGAAGCUUGCUUCUAUGACGCUAGCGGCGGACGGGUGAGUAACACGUGGGCAACCUGUCUGUAAGACUGGGAUAACUU
rnacentral:rRNA from 1 species